ensembl:lncRNA
GUCCUGAGAUUACAGGUGUGAGCCACCAUGCCUGGCUAAGACUUUUUAAAUGAACCAGACCAGCCCUAACACAAGGGAUUCAGUCCUAGACAAUAGCAGCUGUCACCAGCUUUCAUCCCAGAUGGCCUACCAGUUACUGUCCAGAGUUGUUCCAUUUCUCUUCUUUGCCUGCCUGGCUUGAUGAUCCCCUUGAAUUAGAAUCUAUGCUCUUGUCCUUGCACCAUCUUACUUGCAUAACCCAUUUGGACAGGAUUUUCUGGGUUUGGCUGUUAGCAUUCUCUUUAGACAUUAUUUGGUAAAUGUUCUCUGCCCCAGACCUCAGAACCUAUACCACAUGGACCCCACCACCAUUCCUACCCAUUUUUCUGUGAAAAUUUUCCAGAAAUAAAUUUCUCAUCAUGUGGCCAAUCAGCCCACUACAAUCUCAACCAAGGCUGCAUAUGCAAAACCACUUUGUUGUUUUAGCUUUUGUCACUUUUUGGAAUUAUACAUUUUGUUAUGCUAUUUAUUCCCCUUAGCAAGAAUAAUUAAUUGCCCUUAAAGGAUAGUGGAAGGCAGAAAAUAAUGAUGUAAUGUGGAGCAUGCUCAGAAAUAUUAAGUUAGUUUUUCCACCAGGAUAUAAAGGUCCAUCUUCUGCUGAGAAGUCUAUGAGAGGCCAAGUAAUCAUUUAUGAGAGUGGCUGCAUAACACACUGGUUCACUGCAGACUCUCUUAUUGGUUUUUGAUACAGUUUCACACAGGCUUCAUUUGCCAAUUGUGUUGUUUAGUUGGGAAGUAAAAGGCUCUUGAGAUUGGGGUAGAGAUGGGGAGGGGAACACUGAUCGAUUCCUGGCUUGGGACAGGAGAUUGUUGCUGUAUUGCUAUACUCUUACAGGCAUCUCCUUUAUCAAAAUAUAGCCAAGAUGCGAAAUUGAAAUAGUAAUUCUCCUUACUUAAAAAUUCUUUCUUUGUUUUUUUGAGACGGAGUUUUCGCUUUUCUUGCCCAGGCUGGAGUGCAAUGGCACAGUCUCAGCUCACGACAAUCUCUGCCUCCCAGAUUCAAUCGAUUCUCCUGCCUCAGCCUCCCAAGUAGUUAGGAUUACAGGCGUGUGCCACCACGCGCGGCUAACUUUUUGUUUUUAGUAGAGACCGCAUUUCACCGUAUUGGUCAGGCUGGUCUCAAACUCCUGACCCCAGGUAAUCGUCCCAGCUCCGCCUCUCAAAGUGCUGGGAUUACAGGCAUGCGCCUGACUCCUCCUUGUUUAAAAAUUCUAGUAAGUGGCCAGGCGCGGUGGCUCACAACUGUAAUCCCAGCACUUUGGGAGGCUGAGGUGGGCAGAUCACAAGGUCAGGAGUUCAAGACCAGCCUGGCCCACAUGGUGAAGCCCUGUCUCUACUAAAAAAAGUACAAAAAUUAGCUGGGCAUGGUGGGGCGCACCUGUAGUCCCAGCUGCUCAGGAGGCUGAGGCAGGAGAAUAGCUUGAACCCGGGAGGGGGAGGUUGCAGUGAGCCAAGAUCGUGCCACUGCACUCCAGCCUGGUGACAGACUCAAAAAAAAAAAAAAAAAAAAAAAAA